rnacentral:rRNA from 1 species
AUUGAACGCUGGCGGCAGGCCUAACACAUGCAAGUCGAGCGGAUGAAGGGAGCUUGCUCCUGGAUCCAGCGGCGGACGGGUGAGUAAUGCCUAGGAAUCUGCCUGGUAGUGGGGGAUAACGUCCGGAAACGGGCGCUAAUACCGCAUACGUCCUGAGGGAGAAAGUGGGGGAUCUUCGGACCUCACGCUAUCAGAUGAGCCUAGGUCGGAUUAGCUAGUUGGUGGGGUAAAGGCCUACCAAGGCGACGAUCCGUAACUGGUCUGAGAGGAUGAUCAGUCACACUGGAACUGAGACACGGUCCAGACUCCUACGGGAGGCAGCAGUGGGGAAUAUUGGACAAUGGGCGAAAGCCUGAUCCAGCCAUGCCGCGUGUGUGAAGAAGGUCUUCGGAUUGUGAAGCACUUUAAGUUGGGAGGAAGGGCAGUAAGUUAAUACCUUGCUGUUUUGACGUUACCAACAGAAUAAGCACCGGCUAACUUCGUG